rnacentral:rRNA from 1 species
AGACGGAGGGAGCAAGCGUUGUCCGGAAUCACUGGGCGUAAAGAGCUCGUAGGCGGGGACUUAAGUCCGGGAGUAAAUUCACCGGCUCAACUGGUGAAUCAUCUUGGAUACUGGGUUUCUUGAGGACAGGAGAGGAAAGGGGAAUUCCUGGUGUAGCGGUGAAAUGCGUAGAUAUCAGGAGGAACACCUGUGGCGAAGGCGCCUUUCUGGUCUGAUCCUGACGCUGAGGAGCGAAAGCCAGGGGAGCGAACGGGAUUAGAUACCCCGGUAGUCCUGGCUGUAAACGAUGGAUACUAGGUGUAGGAGGUAUCGACCCCUUCUGUGCCGCAGCUAACGCAAUAAGUAUCCCGCCUGGGGAGUACGGCCGCAAGGUUGAA